UGCGUAGGUGGUGGGGUAAGUCGUAUGUGAAAGCUCGGAGCUCAACUCCGAAAUGGCAUUGGAAACUACCCUGCUAGAGGGUCGGAGGGGGGACUGGAAUUCUCGGUGUAGCAGUGAAAUGCGUAGAUAUCGAGAGGAACACCAGUGGCGAAGGCGAGUCCCUGGCGACUCCUGACACUGAGGCACGAAAGGCUGGGGAAGGCAAAACA
rnacentral:rRNA from 1 species